UACGGAGGAUGCAAGCGUUAUCCGGAAUGAUUGGGCGUAAAGCGUCCGCAGGUGGCUGUGUAAGUCUGCUGUCAAAAAGCAAAGCUCAACUUUGUAAAGGCAGUGGAAACUACACGGCUAGAGUGCGUUCGGGGCAGAGGGAAUUCCUGGUGUAGCGGUGAAAUGCGUAGAGAUCAGGAAGAACACCGGUGGCGAAGGCGCUCUGCUAGGCCGCAACUGACACUGAGGGACGAAAGCUAGGGGAGCGAACGGG
rnacentral:rRNA from 1 species